GCCACAACAGUGAGAGGCCCGCGUACCGCAAAAAAAAAAAAAAAAGAAAUGACAAAGGGGUCAGAAGUAUGGCAAGUUAGCUAUGAAAACGAAAGUGGAAGUUAUGGUUCUCUUUGUUCUGCAAUAGUAUAAAAAUAGUAUAUCUUUUCAUCAAGAUAGGAAAAGACAAAGAAAAAUGAUAAGUACUUUUAUACGGUUUCUGGCCAGGGGGUGUCCAUUCUGCUGGAUCACGUGCACAGUUCCUAUGCAUGCUACCCCCAAGAUGGUUUGAUCCCUUUGUUGGGGAGCCUCCCUCCCCUCUCUGGCCUCAGCUUCGCCACGGGUAGAAGUAUGGGAUUGGGCUGGGCCUUCUUUCCCUGGGCGAGCUGUUGUCAGAGUUCUUUUCCAAUACGCCACCCUGGCACUCUCUUCUCUCCCUACUCCCUCUUCUGUUGAGAAACCCCGGCCUGGAAUCCGAGGUCCCUUCCAGUUUCCAAGAUUCUUGUCUUGGCCCCAGGUUACACCCUUCAGUCAGCAGGAAGGAACAGUGUGUUGUGUGUUCUGUCCCAAGGCCCUCCGCAGCCUUCCCAAGGCCCUCAGCCCAAAGAUCAGGGCUGUGCUGGGGAAUUUCUCUCUCCCUCUGACAUGCACAGCGCCCCAAGCCUGGAGCUGCGUGGAAGGGAGUUGUGUUUGCAGAGAUUUCUGAGGACCUGUUGGAGAGCCUGAGCCUUAGCUGGCUCUAAGAAAGGGCUCUCUGACCUCGGGCAAGUCCCUUAAGUUCUCUGAGCUUCAGUUUCCUCAUUUGUAAAACAGAAUAGCCUCACCCCCUGUGAUCAGAAGGCUUCUGAGAAGGUAAAACGAGACGGGGUAAUGUGUGUUAACCCUUAGCACAGUGCCGGGCACACAGCUGAGGCUCCUUUUGGAGAACCACCGGAAGAGGUUCUGCUGGAGAUGAUGCUGGAGAGAUGACACAGGCGGAGAUAAAACACAGUGCAUCUCAAGGCGCAGUAACUAGAACUGAUCAGCGUGACCGUCCACGUCAGUCCUCCUGGUCCUGAUUCUUCCUCAGGGCCAGCGGGCGCCUCUUCCAGGACCGCAGAGGGAGGAGGCCGGUGCUCAGCUGGCUGCCUCUGUGGUUAAGGAGGAGACCCCCGGCCCCGCCCCGCCCUCUGCACAUCCUCAGAGGGAGCAGGGCCAUGAUGGAAUGGUCCGGAGCACCCAGAGAAAUGCAAACAGGAUGUGUGUGUGAUUGCGGUUUCCACCAGGAGCUUUGACACCAUCCGAGAGAUAAACUUCUUUGGGGCUUUCCUCUGUACUACAGAAUCAUAGAACAGUAGACCUGGAAGGGGACUUGGGGAUGAUCUGAUGUGGCCUUUACAUCUUACAGGUGAGCCUAGAGAAGGUAAGAAACUUGCCUAAAGACACACAGCAAGUUAGCAGCAGAAUUGGGCUGAGAACCCAGAUUUCCUUUAUAGGAAGCUAUUUCCUGACUGUUAGGCUGCUUCCUACUGGGUCCUCUUAAUUAUCCUGUGAGGUAGGUAAGGUACGCAUUAGCCCAUGGAACCGACGAGGAAAUUAAGACCCAGAGACUAAAUGGCGCGCCAGAAGUCCCCUGGGACCAGUUCAGGCUACGUCACACUGCACUGCAGGGGUGAUGAGUAUGGAGCUGUGCUCGCUCCAGGGAUGGCGUCUGGGUCUGGGUCCAGGUCUGCCUCCCUGGGACUCCCCUUGGCAGAUCCUCUGAAAAUGGGGUCUACAGUUUCCUGGGCUACAGACCAGACCUUUAAUGUGCUCGUUAGUUUUGAUACUUUCAACUUCAGAGGGAAGAGUCAAAGCCCUGAAAAUAGACAAGAUCUGGAUGGAGCCAGUCCCAAGACCAGAUGGGCCUUUGCAUCCACACCUCCCUGGCUUCCUGGGACUGGCUUGACUUUCUCUCUGGGCCCCGACCCACCUCAAUGUCCAGGCCCUUUCUGUCUCCCAUGGGGGCCUGAAGAGACCUGGUGAGUCUCCCAGCCUCUUUGAGGAGCCCAGCAGUGGGGCUGGGGGAUUCAGGGAGGGGAAUACCUGGGGCUAGAGUCGUCUUUGCUGAGAGUCCCAGGUGGCGGGGGGUGGGUGAGGGUGGGCAGUGAUGAGGGAUAGUGGAAUGGACUGGGUGAGGAGAUGGGGUGUGGGGACCAUGAAAGAGGGGAGCAGAGAAGUGGAGGGGGUACGGGGGCGAGAGGCUGGAACAGCAGCAAGUUUCUGAGACGGUUGGGCCAGGCGAGAGCAGCGCUGGGCUUUGUUUGUGUUUAUCAGUUCCAGAUGUCACGCUCAGCUGUCACUGAAGGAAGCGUGGGCUUCAAGACCCAGGGCCCACUGCUCACACUGCUUCUCCACCACUGAGUUCAAGGAAAACAUGACAUAGAAGAGUCUGGAAUGGGGGUGGGGACUGCGAGAGGAAUCCUGGCCAGAGGCCAGGGCACCCUGAUUCCGUGAGUGGAGUGGGCACUGGGGAAGCUGGCUCCAGGGGUCUGCAGGGGCCUCGAGUCCUGCCCCUCAGAAAGGGGUGAGUGUGGAUCUGAGAUCGCUCAGCCUGAUACUCGGUGUCACGUUUGGGACCCAGGCGACACUCAGCUGAGGUUGUCCAUUUAUUUUGUUAUUACCUCCUUUCCUUCUUCCUCUGUCCAACAGCCUGCUCUUUUAGAGAUUCAUUCGUAAAACAGUCUCCACUUUUUUUCUUCUCUCUUGAUGGGAGUAAGAUAAGAAUGCGGGGAUCUGCUUGUGGUCAGAAGCAGCGCUCUGUCUGAAUGGACAAACACUAGUGGCCAGCGGACCCGGGACUGGAGCAUUUGUCCCGCUGCUAGAACUUUGUCCCUGUACCCUCUGUUUAUGGGCUGAACUGUGUCCCCCCCACCAGUUAAUAUGUUGAAAUUCUAACCCCCAGUACUUCUGAAUGUGACUGUAUUUUGAGAUAGGGUCUUUCAAGAGGGGAUUAAAUUAAAAUGAGGCAGUUAGGGUGAGCCCUAAUCCAAUCUGACUAGUGUCUUCAUAAGAAGAGAUUAGGACACACAGAGAGCCACCAGGGAUGUGCACGCACAGAGGAAAGGCCGUGUGAAGACGUGACAAAAAGGCGGCUGUCUGCCAGCCAAAGGGAAACGCCUCGGCAGAAACCAAACCUGCCAUCAUCUUGACCUUUGACUUCCAGCUUCCAGAACUGUGGGAAAAUAAAUGUCUGUUGUUUAAGCUACCCAGUCUGUGGUAUUUGUUAUGGCGGCCCAAGCAAACUAAGACGCCCCCAACUCCCCAUAUCCGUGCUUAUCACUGAGGAGAGAGAGGGAGCAAGGCCACUGGGGGGUACUUGGCAAGGCUGACGCAAGGCCAUAGGGACGGCUCUGCAAUUCCUCUAGACUGGAGAGCACAGUCACUUGUCCAUGUGGCAGCUGGGCCCUCUCGUUGCCCAGCUGUGAGCCCACCUAACUGCCUGGCCGUGGUGGGUCCCCUUUGUUGCCCAGCCACAGCAGCUCCAGCCAUGGGAGUGCUUGGGAGGCAAGCCCAGCACCCUGUAGCGGAUUCCUGCAAGUCCAACCUGCACGUGGAUACGUCUUUCUGACCCAGCACUCACCCUGACCCUGGGCUGGUUUUAUGACCGAAGUCUGGCUCUCUGCACACUUUUUUGUGAGUGAGACUGUAAAAAUCCUGAUGCAUUUUCCAGAAGCACAUCACGCAUGGUGAAAACCCUCAUGCCAGGCGGUGGAGCCACUCUCAGAGAGAAAGUGAGAAAAUGAAUGAGUGAAUGCCAGGCUGCACUAGAGGCUAUUGGCCAGACAUUGAAUGAGCUUCUCCUGUGUACACAUGUUUCAGUAGGUGCUAGGGAGACUGCACAGGUGAAUCAGAUAGCAUCCCAGCCCUCUAGACACUUCAGUUUUAAGGAAAAAGGCAGCUAUAUGCAUCUAGAGCUCUGGAUACGGGCCAACUGUGGUUUGAUUCUAAGAUGGAGGUGUCAGCAAGGUAUGCUCCAUGUGUGAGGGGAGAGAGGACAUGAAAGGAUUCUUGGACACUCAACAAACUAAGAGUAGAAGGAAAUUAUCUCAAUAUAAUAAAGGCCAUAUAUGAAAAGCCCAUAGCUAACAUCAUACUCAGUGGUGAAAAAGGGAAAUAGUUUCCUCUAAUAUCAGAAACUAGGGAAAGGAGGCCCACUCGCACCAUUUCUAUUCAAUGUAAUACUGGAAGUCCUAGCCAGAGCACUCAGGCAAGAAAAAGAAAUAAAAGGCACCUAAAUCAGAAAGGAAGAAGUAAAGUAAUCUCUGUUUAUAGAUGAAAUAAUCUUGUAUGUGGAAAACCCUGAAGAUUCCACAAAAGCCUCUUAGAACGAAUAACUAAAUUCAGCAAGGUUGCAGGUUACAGAAUCAGAAUGCACAAAUCAUCUGUGUUUCUAUACUGAACAAUCCAAAAGGGAAAUUAAGAAAACAAUCCCAUUUAUAACAGC